AAAGGAGUAUACCUUCCGGGGAUAUCAGCUUUUUUGUAUCAUCUUCCUGAGGUCCUGUGCAUUUCCAUAGUCACAUAUAUGCCCCUAACCGUCUUCUCAGGCCUUAAAUGUUUGGGCGUGUUGUGAAUCUCCAAGACUGAGCCACAAGAUGCAGCAUUUUCCUAAUGACCUCAGGCCCUUUUUGAAUGGGCACUUUUGGGAAUCAGCGUUCUGCAAAGCAUACCUUGGGAAGCCACAGAGAGCUUUUCCCUGAAGCAGGGUUUCUCAACCUGUACGUUGUUGGCAUUUGGGGCAGGAUAAUUCUUAGUUGUGGGCGGCUGUCCUGUGCAUUGGAGGGUAUUUACCAGCAUCCCUGGCCUCUGCUCACCAGAUGCCAAUAGCAAUUCCUCCCCCACCCUGUUGUGACAACCAAAAGUGUCCCCAGGUAUUGCCAAAUGUUCCCUGCUGGCAAAAUGGCCCUCAGAUGAGAACCUUUACUCUAGGGAAAUUUCUAGAAUCAAGAAAAUACAUUGCAAUGAUAGGAGAGACCACUCUCUCAGGUAUGAAUAUUCAGCUGACUGUUAGAGUCCUUGGCAAUAAGAUUGUUAUUUUU
rnacentral:lncRNA from 1 species